rnacentral:lncRNA from 1 species
AUUCUGCAUACAGGCACUAGUAUCUCUUCUGCAUCUUCUCCGUGCAGCCUUGGCUCUAAUCCUGGCACUUUCUGUAGUGAUCUAAAACACCAAGCAAGAACACCUGCCCUCUGUUCUUUAUAAAGUUAUGUUUUGAUGAUUCACUGUAUGUUAAAUUGUCAUAAAUGUUUCUAGGAGCAGAUUUUAAAUUUAAAACAUUCGGAGUGAUUUAUUAUGAAAAUACAGUGGAUAUAUAUAUGUGCUUACAUUCACACAUAAUAUUGGGGUCUUACAGAAACAUCUCUAAGCUUUUUGUAAUUUCAUUUCUAUAGACUGCAUUUUUUAAUGAUGUGAAAUACUAUUUUUUAAAUAAGAUGGCUAGUGUUACACGUGCCUUAUGCUUAUCACAUACAGCUAAAUUGUUCCAACCGGGUGUAUGGAGAGAAAGGGAAGUUAUUCCUAUUUCUGUUCAAUUGGCAGGCCAGAUUUGAGCGCCAAGGCAGAGCCUCCUAAACCUUCUGACUUGACCACAAGGGUGCCCAGAUGUCCAGGAGGCCGGCACAGGCUAAGGGACUGUGUUUGUCCCUGAGAAGAGGUUUCCUGGAGCCCAAGAUUUUGGAAAGCUUGGUUAGAUUCUCAAGUACCACAUCCUCCCAGUAAACUGGAGCUGAAACUGAUCCCAUUCCUCUUUGACCUCCCUGUACUGAGGCUGACCCUAGCCUGCUGCCCGGUGCUGAGAUCUAAGGCCUUAUGCAGGGCUGACGAGAACAGUGGAGGCAUCAGUUGCAGCUGUUGGGCCUAUCGGACUAACAAGGAAGCCAAACGUAAAGUAACCUCCUGGACAGAAAAACAAAAAUCUUUUGCGGCCUAGCUCCGGGCUUCCUAGGUUGGGGCCACCUCUAGGGGGCGGGGCCGCCGCCCUGUUUCGGCGUCUUCCCAGAAGCCCCCGCGCGGCCUCGCUCGGGUAAAAAAGGCGGGAUCGCGGCCCAAGGCGCCAGUCCUGGGGGUCCUGCCUUUCGCCUUCUAGUGUCAGUGGAGCUGUCUCUCCGCCGCGCCUGGGUCGUGUCUCUCUGCCAGGGUUCCUCAGGAAGGCGACCACACAGACUGUUGAGGGCCCAGCGGGUCUCAAGGCCUGGGGCCCUCAGUUGAAAGAUACAGGAGAGAAAAGUCUGCAAGAAAGUAACCCUUGCGAAGAGACCCAGAAUGAGAUUGCUCCAUUGAGCGAGUCAGUGACUGAUGACCUCCAGGUUGACAGUAGUUCAUCAGAUAGUGAGCUAGUAUCAGGACCAAGUUUACAACAUGAUAUUUCCAGUUCUCUUCUGAGCUAUUCAGUCACAGAGUCUUACACAGAAUUCAACAGUGUUGAAGAAAAUUUAAGUAGCUUUUCGUCACCUGAACUGUUCAGAGGAUCAAAUUAUUUGGAUUGGGAGUGUCCCAAAUUGACAGAACACGUGCAGUGCAAGAAUUCUACUCUCCUGGACAGCAGUAAAGCAGUGGCCGUAGAGAAGGCACCAGAGUUUUCAAACCUCUCUGCAAUUUUGGAUAAUGCAGAUUGUGAGGUUUUACUUGCUGAGAAAAUUUGCCCUUCAACCUCUGAAGAAACAGAGAAAAAACCUGAAAAAGAUUCAGAAGAUAGAGCUACAAAUAUUCAGACAAAGUUAAAUCAUCAUGCACAAAUCGACACUGUGUCAUCCCACCACAGGCUUGCUCUUGAAAGCAGUGCACCUAGCUCAGUUACUGGAGUUCUGCUGCCUCAGCCCCUGGCACCUGCCUUGAAAACAAAUUCUCAUAUUCCUAAUAAGAGAAGUGGAGGCCUGGUAACAAGUACUCCAUCUUCAGAGACAGCUGGUUUUGUGAUUGAUUUGUCCUCAGUGCAAAAAGCAUCUUGUGAAGAGUUACUUCCAAAUGUCAGCAGUUAUGCUAAUACAGAUGAAAUUGUUCCUGUAUCAGGUUUGCAAGAAAAUUCUUCACAUGAGUUUCCUUCGAACAGACCAGAAAUCUGUUGUAUUAUUAAGGCAUCACCAGGAGUUAGACAGAUGAAAAGUAAAGGUGUUAUUAUAAAGAAGAAGAGAUAUUCUCCUCCUAGAGAUAUUCCUCAAGAUAUUAUAACAAAAGCAAAUGGCAAGAUAUAACAGCUAUGGAUGAAAUUUUAUUACUUUGAAGAUAUGAAUGUGAACUCAAAGUCCUUAAAAGAAUGUCUACAUAAAAUUAUAUGAAAUGUCUACCUGAAGUUAUAUGAAAUUAAAAAAUUCAGAAUUCUCCAAUUUUUGUGAUAUUUCUCUGUGUAGAAAUUCUCUUGAAAUUUUUGUAAUUUACUUUUAAUCAGUGAAGAAAAUUCUUCCAUAGGCUUCUUAAAUACAUGUAUUUGUAUUAUAAAAGCAGAGCCAAAUAGAUGAUAUUAGAAAACUAAACAUUAAAAUACACGAUUUUGCUAUUUGUAAAGAGCCAGCACUAAGGAAUUCUGGAACUUCCUUUGUUUUUGUUUUUGUCCCCUAAAGUCUAUCCUUUGUAUGGAUUAAAGGAGUAAAGUUGUUGAAGUGCUA